CGAAUGCUGACAUAAGUAACGAUAAAGCGGGUGAAAAGCCCGCUCGCCGGAAGACCAAGGGUUCCUGUCCAACGUUAAUCGGGGCAGGGUGAGUCGACCCCUAAGGCGAGGCCGAAAGGCGUAGUCGAUGGGAAACAGGUUAAUAUUCCUGUACUUGGUGUUACUGCGAAGGGGGGACGGAGAAGGCUAUGUUGGCCGGGCGACGGUUGUCCCGGUUUAAGCGUGUAGGCUGGUUUUCCAGGCAAAUCCGGAAAAUCAAGGCUGAGGCGUGAUGACGAGGCACUACGGUGCUGAAGCAACAAAUGCCCUGCUUCCAGGAAAAGCCUCUAAGCAUCAGGUAACAUCAAAUCGUACCCCAAACCGACACAGGUGGUCAGGUAGAGAAUACCAAGGCGCUUGAGAGAACUCGGGUGAAGGAACUAGGCAAAAUGGUGCCGUAACUUCGGGAGAAGGCACGCUGAUAUGUAGGUGAAGCGACUUGCUCGUGGAGCUGAAAUCAGUCGAAGAUACCAGCUGGCUGCAACUGUUUAUUAAAAACACAGCACUGUGCAAACACGAAAGUGGACGUAUACGGUGUGACGCCUGCCCGGUGCCGGAAGGUUAAUUGAUGGGGUUAGCGGUAACGCGAAGCUCUUGAUCGAAGCCCCGGUAAACGGCGGCCGUAACUAUAACGGUCCUAAGGUAGCGAAAUUCCUUGUCGGGUAAGUUCCGACCUGCACGAAUGGCGUAAUGAUGGCCAGGCUGUCUCCACCCGAGACUCAGUGAAAUUGAACUCGCUGUGAAGAUGCAGUGUACCCGCGGCAAGACGGAAAGACCCCGUGAACCUUUACUAUAGCUUGACACUGAACAUUGAGCCUUGAUGUGUAGGAUAGGUGGGAGGCUUUGAAGUGUGGACGCCAGUCUGCAUGGAGCCGACCUUGAAAUACCACCCUUUAAUGUUUGAUGUUCUAACGUUGGCCCCUGAUCGGGGUUGCGGACAGUGUCUGGUGGGUAGUUUGACUGGGGCGGUCUCCUCCUAAAGAGUAACGGAGGAGCACGAAGGUUGGCUAAUCCUGGUCGGACAUCAGGAGGUUAGUGCAAUGGCAUAAGCCAGCUUGACUGCGAGCGUGACGGCGCGAGCAGGUGCGAAAGCAGGUCAUAGUGAUCCGGUGGUUCUGAAUGGAAGGGCCAUCGCUCAACGGAUAAAAGGUACUCCGGGGAUAACAGGCUGAUACCGCCCAAGAGUUCAUAUCGACGGCGGUGUUUGGCACCUCGAUGUCGGCUCAUCAC
rnacentral:rRNA from 1 species